UACAGAGGGGGCAAGCGUUGUCCGGAAUUAUUGGGCGUAAAGAGCUCGUAGGCGGUUCGUCGCGUCGGCUGUGAAAUCCCGAGGCUCAACCUCGGGUCUGCAGUCGAUACGGGCGGACUGGAGUUCGGCAGGGGAGACUGGAAUUCCUGGUGUAGCGGUGAAAUGCGCAGAUAUCAGGAGGAACACCGGUGGCGAAGGCGGGUCUCUGGGCCGAUACUGACGCUGAGGAGCGAAAGCGUGGGGAGCGAACAGG
rnacentral:rRNA from 1 species